AUUGAACGCUGGCGGCAGGCUUAACACAUGCAAGUCGAACGAGUGGCGGACGGGUGAGAAGUGCUUGGGAAUCUCGGUUGUGGAGGGGGAUAAAUAGGGGAAAGUGUAGCAUAUACCGUGUAACAUAGGAUGCGCACAAGUGGGAUUAGGUAGUUGGUGAGGUAAAGGCUCACCAAGCCGACGAUCUCUAGCUGGUCUGAGAGGAUGACCAGCCACACUGGAACUGAGACACGGCCCAGACUCCUACGGGAGGCAGCAGUGGGGAAUAUUGCGCAAUGGGGGCAACCUGAUGCAGCCAUGCCGCGUGAAUGAAGAAGGCCUUCGGGUUGUAAAGUUCUUUCGGUAGCGAGGCGUUAACUACAGAAGAAGCACCGGCUAACUCCGUGCCAGCAGCCGCGGUAAUAC
rnacentral:rRNA from 1 species